UACGAAGGGGCUAGCGUUGCUCGGAAUGACUGGGCGUAAAGGGCGCGUAGGCGGCUUGUAUAGUCGGAUGUGAAAUUCCUGGGCUUAACCUGGGGGCUGCAUACGAGACGUAUGGGCUUGAGUGCGGAAGAGGGUCGUGGAAUUCCCAGUGUAGAGGUGAAAUUCGUAGAUAUUGGGAAGAACACCGGUGGCGAAGGCGGCGACCUGGUCCGUGACUGACGCUGAGGCGCGAAGCCAGGGAGCGAACGGG
rnacentral:rRNA from 1 species